GGGAAAAUAAAAAAGAAUUUCCCUUAACGAAACAAAAAAAUGUUUUUUUUUUGUUUUUUUGUUUUACUUAUUCCUCCUUAAUGAGGCGACGUGGCUGAGCGAUAAAGCGCUUUGAUUCUGAACCGGAGGUACCGGGUUCGAAUCCUGGUGAAGAUUGUGAUUUUUAAUUUUGUGAUCUUUGGGCGCCGACUGAGACCACCCAACAAUAAAGGUGAAAAAAGAACAGAAGUUAACAUUGACUACCAUUCCCUCCCCUUUAAUUUUCCACUUCUGCGGAAUAUCUCUCUAAAAGAUUGUUCUCAAGAGUGUCUCCACUUGUGUUGAAAAGCCUUCAGCUAUAUCCUGCUUUGUAUCUUUAGUAUUAAAAAAAAACACA